ensembl:lncRNA
UAGAAACCCAUGAUCGUCCUCCUCCUUAACGGGCCAUCACCAGACAGACUGAAACUGCCCUUUUCCCUGGAGCCUCCGUAGGACUGCCUUGAGCCAAAGCUGACCCUGAUUUGCCUCCAUUUGCUCCCUUAGUUCAGAAACCGAGACUUGAAAGCUGUCCUGUGGAGGAUAAAAGACACAUCAGCUGGCUGAACAUUUGUAAGAGCCUCAUAAAGCGACAUCUUCAGCAUGAAGCAGCUGACUGGAGCCAGACGCAGAAUUAUUUCAACACCUGUUGAAGCAAGCUGUCUUGGGUCAGGUCCAACCUGUUGGUAACAGCUGGGUGCUGGAGCACAGAAUCAGCCAUGGCAGGGACCAGAAAUGCCACCGAAGUCAUUGCAAGGGACAGAGUUAAGGUCCCAGACUCCCUUCCUGGCCCAAAGCCUCACUUCAUCCUACACUAAGGCUGGAAGAGAAACAGUCAAACCUGAGAAAGCAAAGAUCUUGUGGAAUAACUUUGUUUGAAAAUGAGGAACCUGUGCUGACCGCGUGGUGAAAAAUGCUUCCUACAUAUCUUUCUAGAUAAGAACAUUACUGAGAGGAACCGCAUUAUUGAUUCUAUAUUCAUUGAAGUUGUUAUGAAGAUUCCCAGAUGUCAACACCACAAGAUGGAAACCACUUCUAAAUGUACAGCUUGAGUGAAGAAUACACGGACAGAGAUUAUUUAAAAUACGCUUGGGAUGAUCAGCACAUCCAGUUUUAGAAAAUGUAUUUUUGGUGAAGAAUUAAUAUUUAAUUAUACUACAGAGAAGCUGUUUGAACACUUAGAAAGAAUUGGGCCAUUUUUAGAGGCCGUACUCCUGCUUAAAUGUUGCAUCCAAUGGACAGUGGUUCUUUUUGCCACAUGUACAGCAUUUACCGUGUUCCAUAACACAACUUAUCUGAUACCCUCGGGAUGUGAUGCAAGAUAGCACAUGACCAUUCUGAAGCCUGUGGUGCACAUAAUGCUAUCUUCCAGCCAGGCAAAAAUCUCCAUCAACUGCAUGAGGGGCCAAUAAGGAGCAUCUCAGUUAUCCUCACCUGAAUUCAGAAACUUCCUUCACUGUAAAUCCCACUCAGACAAAAGAAAGCAGCAAAUUGUCAAUUGGGUUGCGGGGCAUUUUUUACCAGUGCCAGUCUGUCCUUGGAAAAAAUGGCCUAUUCUGGUUUUCAAUGUUUUUAGUUAAAAUUUGUCUCAUUUGAGGAUCAUUUGAUACCCGUUGCCUGACAACUCUUAAGAAAAAUAAAUAUUCAUAUAAUUCUAUUCUUAAGUUUGAGCAAGGUUGACAAUUGUAUAUUUACAAAACAAACAACCACAAACCCCACAAACCCACCCACACAAACCACACAUGCAAGCACACUGAGAGCACGAACC